UAUGAGUUCUGUUAUACUCACAGACACCAUUCAAACAGUUUUAGAAACUUUAGGGUGUUUUCUAUCCAAAGCCAAUAAUUAUAUGCAUAUUCUAGUUACUGGGCAGGAGUAGUAACCAGAUUAAAUCGGGUACGUUUUUUAUCCGGCCGUGCAAAUACUGCCCCCUAUCCCCAACAGGUUAAAUCGGGUACGUUUUUUAUCCAGCCGUGUAAAUACUGCCCCCUAGCCCUAACAGGUUAAAGUUCUUUUGAACAUGACAGUACCUGUGUGUUUGUUUCUCUGUCCUGGUCCACCCAGGCCGCAGGUAAGGUCAAGGAUAGCAGGGUUCGGUACACAAAUCUGGUUCUCGGUAGGUCCAGGUCUAAACGCCAACAGGUAAGUCCAAAACAGUCCAGCUCGUACACGGUAAAUCCAGCCAAUGUAGAUUGUCUCUUUCUCCAUGGUUCAUAGAUCCUUCCCGCCCUCUCUCUCUCUUCCUGGUUUUUCUUGACCCUUUAUCUGUGGGUCGGCUCCACCUUCUGAGGGUUCCCCUUGCUUCUGGGAAUUGUAGUUUUGGCAGUCGGCCAUUUUGUGAUCUGUAGUUCUGAUCGGCGUGGCCAUUUUAGUGAUCGGGCAGAGCCCGUUUAUUAGUUCUGCCCUCACAUAUCUGCCAUUUAUCACUCGACCCCCUUCUUUGCCACAACACAUACAGAUGUAUACAGGAGGACUAUACAAAUACACACACACACCGCUGUGAUGACAGGCUCUUUAUGUACUUUGUGAGUGGGAGGACAUGAGAAGAUGUUGGUACUAUACAGAGGAGGUUAAUUGUAGAGGUGGACCAUACAGUAUAAAGAGGUUUAUGGUAGAGGUGGACCAUACAGUAUAAAGAGGUUUAUGGUAGAGGUGGACCAUACAGUAUAAAGAGGUUUAUGGUAGAGGUGGACCAUACAGUAUAAAGAGGUUUAUGGUAGAGGUGGAACAUACAAUAUAAAGAGGUUUAUGGUAGAGGUGGAACAUACAGUAUAAAGAGGUUUAUUGUACAAGUGGACAAUACAGUAUAAAGAGGUUUAUUGUACAAGUGGACAAUACAGUAUGAAAUUAGAACAUUCGGCUUGAGUACAAAUUGCCUUCUUGUAAAUCCCCUGUGUGUCUCAGUGGCAUGCCACAUUCCUCAAUAACUAAUUCCACAAACUUACAAACAUUAGCCCCAAAGGCUCUUGAACCUGUUCAUUUCUGCUUCCAUGGCAUUUCUUCUCACAAAUAACUGAUCUCUACAGUGCAUCAAUAAUCUACUAGGAGAGAAACCUUUGGUCAUUAUUAAGACACUUUAACUGCUGAUCUAAAAGGCAGAAUAAAAUAAACUAUCAAAGACAAGAAAUAUAGCUGAAUAUAGAUUUUGGGCUCCCAAGUGGUGCUUCGGUCAAAGGCACUGCAUCUCAGUGCUAGAUGCGUCACUACAGACCCUGGUUUGAUUCCAGGCUGUAUCACAACCGGCCGUGAUUGGGAGUCCCACAGGGCAGCGCACAAUUGGCCCAGCGUUGUUUUUAAUUUUUUUAUUUCACCUUUUUUUAACCAGCUAGACCAGUUGAGAACAAGUUCUCAUUUACAACUGCGACCUGGUCAAGAUAAAGCAAAGUGGUGCGACACAAACAACACAGAGUUACGCAUGGAAUAAACAAACAUACGGUCAAUAACACAAUAGAAAAAUCUAAUCUAUAUAUUGUUAGGGUUUGGCCGGGGUAGGCCGUCAUUGUAAAUAAGAAAUUGAUCUUAACUGCCUAGUUAAAUAAAAAUAGAUGAUGCGACACUCUCUUCUCAUAAGGUUCAGUCAGGAAACUAUAAACCUGAUGACCUGCGAUGACUGCUAUUCAUUAACAGAGUAGUACUGGGUGACCCUGUUAACUCUGUGGGAGUCUAAUAAACAUAUUAUGUAGUCUAAAUGCUACACUCCUGGCCAAGGUCAUUGGGAUGCAGCGUCAAUGAUUCUUAUUAGAAAUCAACAUGACUUGUCAAAAUGAGUGAGAGUUGUGCUUGUAUUGUACGUUGUAAUAAUCCUUGUUAAAUGCGCUCACAUUCCAUCACUAAUGUGCUUGGCUGGAAGUGAGGCUAGUCCUAGUGAGAGGGUAGGCCAUGCUAGUGUGAACCUCUGAUGGCUGGGCUGUUUCUCCCACUGUGAAGAAUCAACAUGCUAGCACAUGUCAAUAGAGUACCACCGGAUGAGUCAUAAUACCCAUAAAAGCUAGUGGUGAAACAGGGAAAUGGUUCCAAUCGUUUUCCACCAUACAUUUUUCCCAUGGGGGAUUUUAAAAACAUUUAAAAUAAAAGCUGUGUUUUGUGUAGACUUACCCUGGUGUGACAUUUUGAUAGACAUGUAAAUCUCUCUAGGAUAAGGUGACUUUUAUCAAUAUGUUUGCCUGGAUUAACCCCCCCAAAAUGAAUUGCUAAUUAGCUGCUAAUGUGUCUAUUUUAACGAACUACAAAGGCCAUGAUGAUCUGGACGAGACUGCCGAAUCGAGGCAAAGGUAAGAAUCUCUGGAUUAACUAUCUAAUGUUAGUUAAACGUAGUAAUGAAUAAAUUGCCUACAUUUAAUUAAAUUGACAUUUCUGUGAUCUGUCUUGUAAAAGUUUUAAAUUGACACAAUACCUGUUAGCCUCCCUAGGACAUAUGGGACGGUAGCAUCCCACCUCACCAACAGCCAGUGAAAUAGCAGAGCGCCAAAUUCAAAACAACAAAAAUCUCAUAAUUCAAAUUUCUCACACAUACAAAUAUUAUACCCCAUUUUAAAGAUAAUCUUCUCGUUAAUCCAACCACAUUGUCCGAUUUUAAAAAGGCUUUACGGCGAAAGCAUAGCAUUAGAUUAUGUUAGGACAGCGCCUAGACAAGAAAAACCACACAGCCAUUUUCCAAGCAAGGAGAGGCGUCACAAUGUAACGCCCUGGCCAUAGAGAGGGGUUUUUUGUUCUUUAUUUUGGGUAGGCCAGGGUGUUACAUUGGGUGGGCGUUCUAUGUUCCUUUUUCUAUGUUUUGGUAUUUCUUUGUUUUGGGCCAUGUGUGUGGCUCCCAAUCAGGCACAGCUGAUGCUUGUUGCUGCUGAUUGGGAGUCACACAUAAGGAGCAUGUUUUUCCUUUGGGUUUUGUGGGUAAUUGUUUCUGUUUAGUUUUGUACCUAGCAGAACUGUAGGCUGUCGUUCAUUUUCGUGUUUUGUUUAAAGUGUUUCUAUUAAUUAAAUAUUGAAUAUGAACACUCACUCCGCUGCGUAUUGGUCCACCUUUUCGGACGAUGACUUAUCUGUUUCAUCUGACGACGAAGACAGCCGUUACACACAAAAACCAGAAAUACAGCUAAAAUUAAUCACUAACCUUUGAUGAUCUUCAUCAGAUGGCACUCAUAGGACUUCAUGUUACACAAUACAUGUAUGUUUUGCUCGAUAAAGUUCAUAUUUAUAUCCAAAAAACCCAUUUUACAUUGACGUGUAAUGUUCAGAAAUGUUUUGCCUCCAAAACCGCCGGUGAAUGAGCAUAUCAAUUUACAGAAAUACUCAUCAUAAACUUUGAUAAAAGAUACAAGUGUUAUGCACAGAAUUAUAGAUAAACUUCUCCUUAAUGCAACCGCUGUGUCAGAUUCCAAAAACGCUUUACGGCAAAAGAAAACUUUGCAAUAAUCUGAAGUCAACAGAAGUCAACAGAAGUCACAAAUAACAUUAUAAAUAUUCACUUACCUUUGAAGAUCUUCAUCAGAAUGCACUCCCAGGAAUCCCAGGUCCACUAUAAAUGUUUGUUUUGUUCGAUAAAGUUCAUAUUUAUGUCCAAAUACAAAUACCUUUUCUUUGCGCGUUUAGUCCAGCACUCCAAAUUCACUAAGCGUGUGAGUUUAGUCCAGACGAAAAGUCAAAAUAGUUCCAUUACAGUUCGUAGAAACAUGUCAAACGAUGUAUAGAAUCAAUCUUUAGGAUGUUUUUAUUUCCUGAAGUUCUUGAAGUUCACCAUCAUCUCCUUUGUUUGUUGACGUUGAGUGUGAGGUUAUUUUCCUGACACCACACUCUGAGUGCCCUCACCUCCUUCCUGUAGGCUGUCUUGUUGUUGGUGGUAAUCAAGCACACCACUGUUGUGUCGUCUGCAAACAUGAUGAUUGAGUUGGAGGCGUGCAUGGCCAUGCAGUCAUGGGUGAACAGGGAGUACAGGAGGGGGCUGAGCACGUAUCCUUGUAGGGCCCCAGUGUUGAGGAUCAGCAAAGUGGAGAUGUUGUUUCCUUCAUUCACCACCUGGGGGCGGCCCGUCAUAAAAUCCAGGACCCAAUUGCACAGGGCUGGGUUGAGACCCAGGGCCUCAAACUUAGUGAUGAGCUUGGAGGGUACUAUGGUGUUGAAUGCUGAGCUGUAGUCAAUGAACAGCAUUCUUACAUAGGUAUUCCUCUUGUCCAGAUGGGAUAGGGCAGUGUGCAGUGUGAUGGUGAUUGCAUCGUCUGUAGACCUAUUGGGGUGGUAAGCAAAUUGAAGUGUGUCUAGGGUGGCAGGUAAGGUGGAGGUGAUAUGAUAUUUGACUUGUCUCUCAAAGCACUUCAUGAUGACAGAAGUGAGUGCUACGGGGCGAUUGUCAUUAGUUCAGUUAUCUUUGCCUUCUUGGGUACAGGGACAAUGGUGGCCAUCUUGAAGCAUGUGGGGACAGCAGACUGGGAUAGGGAGAGAUUAAAUAUGUCCAUAAACACAAGAGCCAGCUGGUCUUUCCAUGGUUAAAUGCGGUGGUUCACGCUUUCAAUUUUGCGCAAAUUCCGCCAUCUAUCCACGGUUUUUGGUUAGGGUAGGUUUUAAUAGUCAGUGGGUACAACAUCUCCAAUGCACUUCCUUAUAAACUCACUCACCAAAUCAGCGUAUAUAUCGAUGUUAUUCUCUGAGGCUGUCAGGAACAUUUCCCAUUCCGCGUGAUCAAAACAAUUUUGAAGUCUGGAUUUCGAUUGGUCAGACCAACGAUGAACAGUUCUUGACAUGAGUACAUCCUUGUCACGUCCUGACCUUAGAGAGCCGUUUUAUUUCUCUAUUUGGUUAGGUCAGGGUGUGAUGUGGGGUGAGCAUUCUAUGUUGUUAAUUUCUUUGUUUUUGGCCGAGUAUGGUUCCUAAUCAGAGGCAGCUGUCUAUCGUUGUCUCUGAUUGGGAAUCAUACGUAGGCAGCCCUUUUUUCACCUGUGAUUGUGGGAUCUUGUUUUUGUGUAGCUGCCUGUGAGCAGCCCCAGAACGUCACGUUUCGUUUUCCUCCUAUUUUGUUGUUUUGGUGAGUUUCAUUUUCAAUAAAAGAUGUGGAAUUCCA
rnacentral:lncRNA from 1 species